rnacentral:rRNA from 1 species
AGUGAACGCUGGCGGUAGGCCUAACACAUGCAAGUCGAACGGCAGCACAGGAGAGCUUGCUCUCCGGGUGGCGAGUGGCGGACGGGUGAGGAAUACAUCGGAAUCUACUCUGUCGUGGGGGAUAACGUAGGGAAACUUACGCUAAUACCGCUUACGACCUACGGGUGAAAGCAGGGGAUCUUCGGACCUUGCGCGAUUGAAUGAGCCGAUGUCGGAUUAGCUAGUUGGCGGGGUAAAGGCCGACCAAGGCGACGAUCCGUAGCUGGUCUGGGAGGAUGAUCAGCCAAACUGGAACUGGGAAACGGUCCAGACUCCUACGGGAGGCAGCAGUGGGAAAUAUUGGACAAUGGGCGAAAGCCUGAUCCAGCCAUACCGCGUGGGUGAAGAAGGCCUUCGGGUUGUAAAGCCCUUUUGUUGGGAAAGAAAUCCAGCUGGCUAAUACCCGGUUGGGAUGACGGUACCCAAAGAAUAAGCACCGGCUACUUCGUGCCAGCCGCCGCCGUAA